GAUGAAGAACGUAGCGAAAUGCGAUAAGUAAUGUGAAUUGCAGAAUUCAGUGAAUCAUCGAAUCUUUGAACGCACAUUGCGCCCGCCAGUAUUCUGGCGGGCAUGCCUGUUCGAGCGUCAUUUCAACCAUCAAGCCCCCGGCUUGUGUUGGGGACCUGCGGCUGCCGCAGGCCCUGAAAACCAGUGGCGGGCUCGCUAGUCACUCCGAGCGUAGUAAUACAUCUCGCUCAGGGCGUGCUGCGGGUUCCGGCCGUUAAAAAGCCUUAUUUACCCAAGGUUGACCUCAGAUCAGGUAGGAAGACCCGCUGAACUUAAGCAUAUCAAUAAGCGGAGGA
rnacentral:misc_RNA from 1 species